CUCGUGGUAAUCAGUCCAUUUGAUGUCCGAAGUUUGACUGCUCUCACUACUCCAUCAUUCCCGGUGAUCAAAUCUUCUAUAACUGCUAGUUUCCACAUCAUUCUCGGUGAAUUGUCCAUGAUUUGUACGACGGAACCGAUUUUCACAUGUGCGUUUUGGUCGCCGGCGACUCGAUGAAAUUCUCUUAAUCCGGUGGGGUAUUCCAUUUCCAUCGUUUUGCAAAGUGUUCAAUUAAAGUUACUUUAUUGUUGUAACGUUUGUUUGCUUCUGUAAAAUCAAAAUUUGAAUAAUGGACCUCUGAAUCAGAAUUGUUUUCUUGCGAUAAUCUUCUUCCCUGCAGUAGAUGUGACGGCGUUAG
rnacentral:lncRNA from 1 species